AGUCGAGCGGAAACGAUGAUAGCUUGCUAUCAGGCGUCGAGCGGCGGACGGGUGAGUAAUACUUAGGAAUCUACCUAGUAGUGGGGGAUAGCACGGGGAAACUCGUAUUAAUACCGCAUACGACCUACGGGAGAAAGGGGGCAGUUUACUGCUCUCGCUAUUAGAUGAGCCUAAGUCGGAUUAGCUAGAUGGUGGGGUAAAGGCCUACCAUGGCGACGAUCUGUAGCUGGUCUGAGAGGAUGAUCAGCCACACCGGGACUGAGACACGGCCCGGACUCCUACGGGAGGCAGCAGUGGGGAAUAUUGGACAAUGGGGGAAACCCUGAUCCAGCCAUGCCGCGUGUGUGAAGAAGGCCUUUUGGUUGUAAAGCACUUUAAGCAGUGAAGAAGACUCCUCGGUUAAUACCCGUGGACGAUGACAUUAGCUGCAGAAUAAGCACCGGCUAACUCUGUGCCAGCAGCCGCGGUAAUACAGAGGGUGCAAGCGUUAAUCGGAAUUACUGGGCGUAAAGGGAGCGUAGGUGGCUCGAUAAGUCAGAUGUGAAAUCCCCGGGCUCAACCUGGGAACUGCAUCUGAUACUGUUGAGCUAGAGUAUGUGAGAGGAAGGUAGAAUUCCAGGUGUAGCGGUGAAAUGCGUAGAGAUCUGGAGGAAUACCGAUGGCGAAGGCAGCCUUCUGGCAUAAUACUGACACUGAGGCUCGAAAGCGUGGGUAGCAAACAGGAUUAGAUACCCUGGUAGUCCACGCCGUAAACGAUGUCUACUAGUCGUUGGGUCCCUUGAGGACUUAGUGACGCAGCUAACGCAAUAAGUAGACCGCCUGGGGAGUACGGCCGCAAGGUUAAAACUCAAAUGAAUUGACGGGGGCCCGCACAAGCGGUGGAGCAUGUGGUUUAAUUCGAUGCAACGCGAAGAACCUUACCUGGUCUUGACAUAUCUAGAAUCCUGCAGAGAUGCGGGAGUGCCUU
rnacentral:rRNA from 1 species